rnacentral:rRNA from 1 species
ACACCGGCAGCUCAAGUGGUAGCCGCUUUUAUUGGGCCUAAAGCGUCCGUAGCCGGUCUGAUAAGUCUCUGGUGAAAUCCCACAGCUUAACUGUGGGAAUUGCUGGAGAUACUAUCAUGACUCGAGGUCGGGAGAGGCUGGAGGUACUCCCAGGGUAGGGGUGAAAUCCUGUAAUCCUGGGAGGACCACCUGUGGCGAAGGCGUCCAGCUGGAACGAACCUGACGGUGAGGGACGAAAGCCAGGGGCGCGAACCGGAUUAGAUACCCGGGUAGUCCUGGCCGUAAACGAUGUGGACUUGGUGUUGGGAUGGCUUCGAGCUGCCCCAGUGCCGAAGGGAAGCUGUUAAGUCCACCGCCUGGGAAGUACGGCCGCAAGGCUG